GGGUAUGCUUCUGAAGAUCUCUUCUGCUAGGAAUCAUUGGCUAAAUUUGUUGAAAUAGGGACAUUCUCCCAGAUUACACUUUUCUUUUUCACCUCUCAAGGGUGCUUUUCAAUAAAAAAGUGUCCCCUAAAGAUGUAAGCCUAUAAGCUUGGCAGGACUUUUCAUAAGCAACUUUAAUAUUUUUAUUUUCCCUUGAAGAAGGCUUGGAAAAUUCAUUUCCAUUGCUAAGCUGUUGGGAGGUACUUAGUGCCUGCAAUAAAAAUCAUGUAACAAAUGGCUCCUCUGUCGUGGUUAACGGGCUCUGAUAGCAGAGAUGGUGUGAUUGGUGACAAAGAGCCCAUGGCAAUUUUGAUUUUGCCAAAUAAAAAUAGACCAAAGAAAUGGAAUUCUGGAGGGUGCUGUUGAUGCCUGAAAGGAGCCAGGGGAAUGUUCAGGCUGUGCCAGUCUUUUCAUGUCACACAUGAGACUCUGAGAUUUCAAAAAAAUCUUUUGCCCAAGCUGGUGAGUGGCCAGAAGUAGACUUAGGGCUUCUUGCACACUUCCUUCUUCUUCUUCUUCUUUUUUUUUUUAUUAGAGUAUAGUUAAUUUACAGUGUUGUGCCAAUUUCUGCUGUAUAGCAUAGUGACCCAGUCAUAUACAUAUAUACAUUCUUUUUCUCAUACUGUCUUCCAUCGUGGCCCAUCCCAAGAGACUGGACAUAGUUCCCUGUGCUGUACAGUAGGACCCCAUUGUUUAUCCAUUCUAAAUGUAAUAGGGAAACAUCUUUCUUGGCCUCCAAACUGCUCUAAACAUUUUUGUUUCUGAAACCUGUUUAAUAUUUAAAACAAGUUCAGAUAUCUUUGUGGUGGUCCCAGUUCUCCUGAACUCUUCACCAGAAUUGCUUGCCCUCUGCGCCAUAGAUGGUCCGCAGGUGAGGAGAUCACCAUCACCUUACACCUCACCUGGAUCCUGGACCUAAGGGAGACCACCUGGCCUGGUACUUGCCCACCCACCAUUUUUGAGCAGUGGGAACAGUUUAAGGCUUGACUUAAACCAUAGCAUAUGAGCAAAUGUUAAAAAUUGAAAUCUGGGCUUUCAGCCAUGCAGAAUGGGGUGGGAGUUAUUAUUUUCUGCCAAUGAAUAUAAUGAAUAAAAUGAACAUCCACUAUUUUUUUUUUUUUUGGAUGGGGAGAAUGAGGCAGGAAAAUGUCUUACCAGGAAGCCCCUGCCUGAACUCUCCAAGUGUUUGUGUUGUCCUUGGCACUGCUGCAGUAUUGUCACUUUAGGGCACAAAGACCUGAUUAAAGAAAACCCCGCCGGAGUAAGCCCUGGUCCAUUAGUUUGUGUUCAUUUGCAUGUCCCUUGCUUUCUCAGAACAUGUACUUGACCUGGGAGCAUCUCUGUUACCAUGGAAUCCUGUUUCUUUAGCUGUUAGGCACCAACAUUUGAAUAGUUUCCCUUUCAAGGCAGAAAGUCUUUGUGCCCUACAAGCAUCUCUCUACAAAGCACUAGAACCGUGCAUUAUUGCUGCAUAAUUAUCCAACUGGUAGUAACGCUAGGGGUCUGUCCUGGAUGCAUUAUAUGGUAUAUUAUCAAGAGCAAGAGUUUUACUCUUUCGGCCUUGGAAGGGAUUUUCGAAAGCACGAGAGUAAACCGUUGCUCCAAGUAGUUAAACGUUUGCCCAGUCUCAUGCUGCGCAGUGGUGGCACAAUGGUGACUGAUGUUCCAGGCUGGACCUCCUAUUGAUCUUUAUCUUGUUAUUAAAUAAUUUUAACUUUUUUUGAUAGGAGAAAAGUCUUGAUCAAUUUGCAAAAGAAAUUAGGAUUUUUCCAAACAAAUUCAUUUUGUGCUUAUUCAUUGUUUCUUUGGACUUGGAGGUGGUGUUAUGUUUUUGUGUAUGUGUGUUUGUGUGCAUGUGUAGGAAGGCAGUCCUUCUGACCUCUGUACCUAUUGUAGGCUGGCACUGGGAGAAGCUUGAAUCAUUUAUAUAGAAAACCCUAAGGACUCAACCCAAAAACUACUUGAAUUGAUUAAUAAAUUCAGCAAAGUAGCAGGAUAUAAGAUUAACAUUCAAAAAUCAGUCACAUUUUGGAGUUCCCGUCGUGGCUCAGUGGUUAACUAAUCCAACUAGGAACCAUGAGGUUGCAGGUUCAAUCCCUGGCCUUGCUCAGUGGGUUAAGGAUCCAGCGUUGCUGUGAGCUGUGGUGUAGGUCGCAGAUGCGGCUUGGAUUCUACGUUGCUGUGGCUGUGGCAUAGGCCGGCGGAUACACCUCUGAUUCGACCCCUGGCCUGGAAACCUCUAUAUGCUGAGGGAGUGGCCCAAGAAAAGGCAAAAAGACAAAAAAAAAAAAAAA
rnacentral:lncRNA from 1 species